CUCUGGGUGUUUGGACUGGGAUGGCUUACGUCAGAGUAUCUAAGCCUCUGUAAGUGGAGAUCAUCAAUUUUCACAGAGAUAUGAGUCACAUUUUUUCUUUCCUGGCAAAGCUUCUUGCAGAGGUGGUGGUUUUCUCUGCUCCAGAAAUCAAGCAUCCAAUACGACAACAAGCGAAUGUUGUAGUCAUCUACCAGAUUAAAGUCUGCAGUCUCCAUUUUGGCAAAGAUGAGUGAUGUAGUGCAUCCACAGAGAAACAAAUUUGCUGCCUUUGAAUGCAAGCAUUUCCUCACAUUGUUGCUUGACUGAUAACUUGAAGCCACGAUUCAA
rnacentral:lncRNA from 1 species